CUGAGUGAUGAUGAAAAAUAAUCCAAAACAGAUUUUGUGUAUAAAGCUCCUGUAGCUCGGUGUGUAGGUUAUUUACACCACUUAAUGUUUUUAGUUCGUAUAAGACCGAGUCUAUAAGUUUGUUCUGAUUGAAGAGCUUUUGUUUUAAAUCAUUUAAAUGUUCCGUUGUGGCGCUUUUUACACACACACACGCACGCAAACAUACACACACACACGCACGCACGCAAACAUACACACACACACACGCACGCACGCAAACACACACACACACACACGACACUAGAUACAGACGGUAUUGUGGAGUGAACAACAAACACACGUGACAGAUGGAGUACAGGAGUGAGGAGGGUGAACACACUGCGUCUCCUCGGAGUGUCAUAGUGACUUAUUAUGAAGGAGACAUUAACACUGUGGUGAAUGAACACUUCACUCGCGCUUUGGGGAAAAACUGUGUUCCUAAAGACCUGAGUGUUAAACACCGAGAGAGACAAACACCACACAACCACGAGUUACAGCCUCCUCCCUCAUGGGCUGCAUCCUGGUCCAGGAGGAGUUUGUGUCCUACAGACCACACACGUCACCUGGCCCCAUGUUUCUCUGCUGAGGAAGCAGUUCGGUCUUCAUCAGUGAUCGUCAGUCGGACUGAGACUCCUGCUUCUUGGCACCAACCUCAGAACUACAUGCUGACUCCCUUAGCAUACCAACCAUCAGCAGCUCCAUCGUUCCACAAUCCAGAAUGAGCAGUACAGAUGAGAUUAGAAUGAAGCACCAGCAGGGGACAGCACUGACUCACCAGUACACACUUAUGGUCUGAUGUUUACCUCCGGAACUCUUUCCUGCUCUUUUUGGAAGGGAUGCUGAAUUUCAGCCCUAAUAAUGUGUGUUAGAUGAUGAUGUGAAUCAAUCAUGAAGUUCAUGCUGAACAUCCUGUAAACACAGUGUGUGUGUGUGUGUCUCUGCUCUUCUACUCAUGUACAUCGAAGCCAUUUAUAAUGGGACAAUCUAUGGUCCAUUUCAGUCUGGUUCCUCUCACGGUAACUUCCUCCUAUCAUCUCAGGGACUUCUUCUUUGUCGUUGUUGUUACCACUGGAUUGUUCAUUAGGGAUCUAAAUCUACAUGUGGAUUUCUGUAUUGUGUGAUUAUUUGUGAUUAUUUGUUUAUUUGUGAUAAAGUCUGUUAAUAAACAUGUUAUACAAAUAAACAUCAAAGACUUGAACACGACUAUCAGUGAUAAAGUAAUAAAGUGAACCUCUGACCUGCA